UUGGAGGGCAAGUCUGGUGCCAGCAGCCGCGGUAAUUCCAGCUCCAAUAGCGUAUAUUAAAGUUGUUGCAGUUAAAAAGCUCGUAGUUGAACCUUAGGCCCGUGCGGGCGGUCCGUCCUCUGGGCGAGCACUGCUCCGUCGCGGGUCUCACCUUCUGGCGAGCGUGGAUGCCAUUUAUUUGGUGUCCGCGGGAACCAGGACCUUUACCUUGAAAAAAUUAGAGUGCUCAAAGCGGGCUCCGACGCUUGAAUACAUUAGCAUGGAAUAAUGAAAUAGGACGAUGGUUCUAUUUUGUUGGUUUCCGGGACCGUCGUAAUGAUUAAUAGGGAUAGUUGGGGGCAUUCGUAUUCAAUUGUCAGAGGUGAAAUUCUUGGAUUUAUUGAAGACGAACUACUGCGAAAGCAUUUGCCAAGGAUGUUUUCAUUAAUCAAGAACGAAAGUUGGGGGAUCGAAGACGAUCAGAUACCGUCGUAGUCUCAACCAUAAACUAUGCCGACUGGGAAUCGGGCGAUGUUACUUUUCUGACUCGCUCGGCGCCCCGAGGGAAACCAAAGUGUUUGGGUUC
rnacentral:rRNA from 1 species